rnacentral:rRNA from 1 species
UGGGGAAUUUUGGACAAUGGGCGAAAGCCUGAUCCAGCCAUGCCGCGUGCAGGAUGAAGGCCUUCGGGUUGUAAACUUGCUUUGUACGGAACGAAAAGACUCUGGUUAAUACCUGGGGUCCAUGACGGUACCGUAAGAAUAAGCACCGGCUAACUACGUGCCAGCAGCCGCGGUAAUACGUAGGGUGCAAGCGUUAAUCGGAAUUACUGGGCGUAAAGCGUGCGCAGGCGGUUAUAUAAGACAGAUGUGAAAUCCCCGGGGCUCAACCUGGGAACUGCAUUUUGUGACUGUAUAGCUAGAGUACGGCAGAGGGGGGAUGGAAUUUCCGCGUGUAGCAGUGAAAUGCGUAGAUAUGCGGAGGAACACCGAUGGCNAAGGCAUCCCCUGGGCCUNUACUGACGCUCAUGCACGAAAGCGUGGGGAGCAAACAGGAUUAGAUACCCUGGUAGUCCACGCCCUAAACGAUGUCAACUGGGUUGUUGGGUCUUCACUGACUCAGUAACGAAGCU